CUUCUGGCUGAAGGCCACUGCAAUUGAAACAAAUCAAGAAGUCUGGGUGGAGCUCAGCAAAUGGGAAGAAAGGAAAAGAGAAAAGUGGAGAGGGAGAGAGAGGGAGAGGAGCGAUGCUGACUGAGAAAAUGUGUGCUUGUUCUGGAUAGGAGCCCCUCUUUCUCUCUCUCUCUCUCUCUCUCUCAUUCCCUCACUCUCUCCCACUCUCUCUCUCUCUCUCUCUCCCUCACUGUCUCCCUCUGCUCUCCACCUCCCUACCUCCCUCUCUCUCUCCUCCUGCAUUCUGUAUUUGUUGGUGAUGCAUUAACAGCAGUGACUCAUCAUUGGUAACUCCUGACUGCUCUGGAGAAGUAGCUGUGUAUGUAAAUACGCAGCUCAGAAGUAGUGCUGUGGAUUGGGCUCUGUCUUGAAGGGAAGAUGAGUGUAGCUGGCUGGCUGGCUGGCAGGAGUCUACAGUCUGAAGAAGACCGGACUGAAACCAACCAGCCCCUGGGAUCUUUUUUUCUUUUAAACUUGCUAUUCUUCCUCUGCUCGGAGCUCCACGCCUGGCAUGUGAUCAGUUUUUGGAUCAGGGUCCACAGCCAUGCAGGAUCAGGUGUGGAUCAGAGGCAGCCCCCCAACCCCGCCACCCCCCCGACCGCUGCGGCAGUGUGGGUUCCUGGCAUCGUGAUUUGAAGCAAAAAAGGAAUCAAAAAUCACAUUGCCAGGGAUUUCCACACAGCCACAGUCCUCAGCGGCCUGUCACUGGGGAUGCGACUCCAGCUGUCACUGUUCGUGGGACGUGUUGCAACAGCAGACGAAACCGAGAAUAUUCUCCAUUCUAAAACAUCAGUAAAAUCCAUGUUACUUUUCUCAAGGGCUUGUCUUUCCUGCAUCACCCAGCAGCGCAAUCUCUUUCUGAAGGCACAGAGCUUAGCUAAUUGGCGAGCAUUGUUCCUCCUGGUAUGUUGUUCACAGUGGCUAAGUUCAGUGCCCUAGGAGAGCAUGAGUCCGAGAUCCGAGCUUGCCUUUCAAGGAAGGAGAAUCUAAAGCAGCAGCCCGGAAGGGAGCCUGGCAGAUUGCUCAAAAAGCACUCAGGAAUGUUGCAUGCAAGCUGAGCCAGUGCAGACCUGUAGAGUUCCACUUCACUCAACCAAAAGUGUGUGUGCCUUUGACAAUUAACAGGAGGUUUACAGCAGAGCGGCCAGAGCUUAGAAACUUUUAGGUGAGUCAGGAUCACAGGCACCCUGCCCAGUGUCGUGAGCGGCUGGGAACUUUUCAAGUACAGUAAGUCUGCUACACCUGGUUAUUAUUAUUAUACCAUACUAUACUAUACAGCUAUGGCCAAAAGUUUUGCAUCGCCCUAUAGAAUUAAUACAUUUUGCUUCAUAAUGUCGAAUGAAACCUGCUGAAUAAUGUUACGUUAACAUAUUGAAUUACACACCGCUUUGUAGUUUUCCAUAUACUAAACGAAAAACUGACAAAAACUGAAACACGUGAUAUUUCGAAAUCUAACAUGAAAUACUGUACUACUAUUAUGGCUUCCGGUAGACUUUUGCAAUAUCAUUUUGUAGUUUCUUUGAUUACAUGAUGUUAAAUAAAAGAUCUAAAUCAUG